rnacentral:lncRNA from 1 species
CGGGCUCCAUCUCCAGGCCUCCCACUUCACCCUGGGACAUUAUAGUCGCUGGUCAGACCUCAUGACUCACUUGGACUCUUGAGCCACCUCUGGGGGUGGAGUCUCUCUCCUGGCAUCUGGACCCUUGGUGCUAUCGACGAAGCUUGGCUGGCACUCUUAGCUGCUAUGUGCAAGACAUGUGUCCCAGGGAAAGCCCCUCUCUCUCUGCAGAGGUCAAGUGAAAGCCACAGCUGCAGCCAACAGAGUUCAAAAUGCAGGCUUGGAAAGUCCAGGGGGCUCUGUGGAGGAGAUUAGUCCUGAGAGAUUGACACCAGAGCCACCUGAUGAGUGUGGGUGCUUGGAGCCUUGGACUCGAUGACCUACCUAUCCUGCCUCCCACCUGACUACUGAAGUAGGGGAGGUCACGGGCCUCAGUUUACCUGCUUUCAGCCUCUGCCCUUCCCGAGAGGGAUGAAGCCGACUUACUGCAUCACAGUUUUGUCCUUUAGUUCAUCGGCUCUGGAACUUUCC